UACAGAGGGGGCAAGCGUUGUUCGGAAUUACUGGGCGUAAAGGGCGCGUAGGCGGCCUGCUAAGUCGAACGUGAAAUCCCCGGGCUCAACCCGGGAACUGCGUCCGAUACUGGUUGGCUUGAAUUCGGGAGAGGGAUGCGGAAUUCCAGGUGUAGCGGUGAAAUGCGUAGAUAUCGGGAGGAACACCAGUGGCGAAAGCGGCUACCUGGCCCAUUCUUGACGCUGAGGCGCGAAAGCUAGGGGAGCAAACGGG
rnacentral:rRNA from 1 species